UAAGUAUGAAGAGCCAAAAUCCUACUUCAGAUUUAAACCAAAAAAUGGACAGUUGCUGCGUACUGCAUGUAUCUAGGACAACAUGAGAUGGACUGGGGUGAUUAAGGAAGCGAUGAUCAUCUCAAACAUCAAUGCUAAUAUGCAAUCAUUUUAGCCCAUGAGCAACAUUUCUUCAGCAAUGUAACACUUUCAUUGUAUAUUGUCCUUUAGAAGAGUGUUAAAGCACAUUGAUACAUUUUGGAGUAAAAUCAAAAUUCCCAAAUAAAAUUUGAUUUGAUUUGAUUUAAUAUAUACGGUUUUGGUUUUUCUGGCAUCAGGGAGAACGGGACCCAUCUGGUGCUGCAUUAGACCAGCUAGUUAGAAGCAGAUUGGAAGAGUAAAGAAACUGGGAAAUUGCCUCUGUCAAGCCUGCUCGACACUAUGUAUAAAACAUCUCGGAGUAAAAUCUAAAUUCCCAAAAUGGAGUAAUCUAACGACGCAUCUUGAAAAUACAUUCUGAGGCACAUAGAGGAGCUACUUCUCAAUGCAGUACACAAGACGAGGGAACAGGCUUUAGUCUGACGUGUAUAGUAUUGAAUUCGUUUCCCUUCUGUCUACUUUUUAUUUUGGAGUUCUUACAUUGAAAUGUAAAUUGCUUCUCAUGUGGUACUGAACAUUAGUGGGUGUACUGUGUUAAAUUACAUCGCAUGCUACAGCAGAAUGCAUCUCCCACCAAACCGCUUUACUCAGCUUACAAAAUGUAACAAUUCUACAUUCACCUUAUGCAUUCCAUCUUUUUUAAAUUUUAAUAGAGCUCAAUAGGCUCAACUUGGUCACUAAGGUGAAGUAAUGGAUUCAAGGUUAGUAUAAUCUUGCCUCAGGCAUCCCCACCAAAAAGCUGUCUGUCUUAUGGCAGGAUGUCAUUUGAGCUGGUGGAGCAAACCAUUCUCUGGAACAUCCACUGUUUAUUUGGCAGAGCACUCUGGCAGAACUGAUCCUAGACCAGAACAAAAGGCCACCUGACACAGCUGAAGCCCCAUGUGUUGUGUAAUACAGGUCUUGCAUAUCCAUAUCAUUCUUUAUGGGUUCUAGGGUAUAGCUGAGGUGUACAAGAGGAGAAGUCCCCAAAACACAUGAGGAAUGACAACCAGGCGAUACAUCCCUCUUGCCUCUGGCUUUGUCUAGCCAGGCGUAACAUUUUUCAGUGUUCUGCUAGUGAUUUUGGUUCAACAAGUCUUUCGAAGUCAGUCAAAUAAUUUCAAAGGGCUAUGGCUGAUCCUGGCUAAUCCAUUGACUGAAACCCCCAUGAGGCGGACUGUAUGGUUUGAACUAUGUAGACCAGCGCUCAGAGGUCACGUUUGUUUGGCUGACUGGAUCAAACCAGCGAAGACUAAUCCUACAGAAUUAGUCCAUUCGUCAACCGCCUCUUGACCAUAGAGGCAGUAAUCAUUAAAAUGGUUACAAAAGGAAUGCCUGAGUCCUUUUUGAAAAGGCAUGCUGCUUCCCUUUUUAAGGUAAAGGUAAACUGAACCACAUUCCCAACUUAAAAAGUAAAAAGGUUUUUGGCAAAAGGUAACCUUUACAAAGAGUUAUGUCUUUCACAUAAGGAUGUUGUAUCAUAAAAAACUUGCUGAAACAACAUCAUUGAUUUAAGGAAGAGGAGGAAGGGAAGCGCUACUAAGGUACACAAUAGUACAUUUUGGUAGACAGAAGGUGCUCUUUACAUUUACAUUACAUUUUAGUCAUUUAGCAGACGCUCUUAUCCAGAGCGACUUACAGUAGUGAAUGCAUACAUUUCAUAAUUGUUUUUUAUUUUAUUUGUAAUAUUUUUUUGUACUUUUUAUUUUUAAUUUUUUUGGGUAAAAGGGGUGAAUUGGUCAUCAAAAAGAAAGGAACCCAAGGCACUCUUCAUGUAAUUUAAUAAAAUGCCUUUAUUUGUAUGGCAUGUUCAAUAGAAACAAAGUUUUAAAAAUCCUACGCGUUUCGGAUUUUUUCAACUUUGUUUCUAUUGAACAUGCCAUACAAGUAAAGGCAUUUUAAUUAAUUGACUAAAUAAACAGGAUUAAACUAAUUAUUUGUUGACAUCUAAAACUCCACUGUUUUGCUCAUAGCUGCUUACCAUCCAUUGAUAUUUGCUUGUGGGCGGAGGGGUGGUGCUAUUUCGUAUUACAAUAUCUAUUUUUCCUGGUAUUCACACUAGAACCGUUUACACCUGGUUCUAACUUGCGUCCUUUGUCCUGAUCUCGCCCACAUUCUGAUUGUACCCACAUUUUUAGACAGGUGUAGACAAUCAAAAGAGACAUUGUGGCCUGAUUGUGAUCAGGUCUUCCUGACCACCUCCAGAGGUGGUCAGACACGCAUUGUGUCUGGAUAUCUUAGAAGUGUAGACAGAUCUGGACAGAGAAACCAUUUAAAUCAUAAUUAUUACGCCCUCUAAAAUCACUGACAGGUGGCACCAUUGACUGAUUACAUCAAUAUGUGUCUUACAAUAAAUAAAUACAGUAUUUUGAAAGAACAGCUGUGAAAUAAUUUGCAUAAAGGUAGGGACCAGGAAAUCUGGUCACAACGCAGACACAGUGGACAGAUAAUAGACACAUUUUAUUCUGGAAAUGUGGGCACAAUCAGAAUGUAGACAAGAUCAGGACAAAGGAUCUGUGUUAGCACCAGAUAUAAACAGGGCUACUGACAGACCAUGCUGCUGUUGCUAAGUCCAAUACCAUUACAUUUUACCUGAAAUCUGAUGUGACAAGAUUUCUUUCCUGUCUCACAACUUCUCAGGUAAAUCCCAUACAGUGCCUCGCACCGCCCAAUUUUAGCCCAAACAUUCUUUCAGGUCUUAUAAAGGACCCAGUACAGAUCAUUAAAACAUACAACUAUGACUAAUCUCCCAUGUCUCACUCUAAGCCUUUGACCUUUCCCCAAUGUAAUCUCUAUUAGAAACCAUUUAUGACUGAAAUGACUGAAAUGUACUUAACAAGUCUUGUCAUCACCGCACCUUUGUCAGUGUCUUAGCGGCCAAUUGAAUGUGAAACGGCUCACCGGGCGACAAAACCCCUACGGUGAACUUUCAGGUCUAAAGAUUUUGGUCAGGCCGGAAAGGUGGCUUCGACUGAGAGGCAGGAGCUUGGUGCGGCUCCUUUGAAAUCCCCUCAACUGUAAAAUGCAGCUGCUUUUCACAUGGAAAGGAUCUGCCCUGAGAACUGUGCCCAUGACAGCACAGUGGAUCAAAUUCCACCUCCCGGCAGGUUAUGGUCAGAAUCGGAUACUUCUGCUUUGUCAUCUGGGCCAGUAGCCUUUCUAGAAAGAGUUGGACCAAUUGAUUCUCAACCAAAUUAGUCAUUUUUAGAUGCUAAUGUAAAAGGUUUACCCAGUAAAGACUAAACCAUUGCACGAAGAUGCAUAAGCCCAUGUGAAUGAGCACAUAGCCUAGUCCUGUCAUUUUUGUUGUAGUUAGUGUAAAAAAAUCUCUCUAUAUAUUUGAAAAAAAGUCUUAGGUUUACUUGUCCAGUGCCAUUGCUUGACUUGAGCAGGAGCUCACUGGACCUGAGUACCAGCACCCUAAAUGUUCUACUGCUUGAGCUCCUGUUCCUCUUAUAAAAUAUUAUCUCAAAAGUAUUGUGGACCUCCUACACCUAAAUAUAAACAAUACCAGCACCCAAAAUGAGUAGCAGAACCUAUUUCAGUCUAAGUCAAGCACUGUCCAGUGCUCACACAGAGACCGGAUUGGAUUUUUAAAAAGAAUUAUGGCGGAGACCUAAUAUCCACCCUGAUCAGUGCUCUGAGCAUAUCCCUAUUGCUUUGUUGAAACGUACUGUACCCAUUCACUGUGCUGUACCAACUCACACACACUGAACUGUGUUCAUAUUUCAAUCAAUCACCAGGGUUAUCAGUGCACUAAUGAUGUCAUUGGUGCUAAUGGAAAAGGUGACAUGCUCACUGAAGUGGAUAAUGAUGCUAAUUAGCUAAACAUCCCAGUGAUGCACAUGUAGCAGCUCAUCAUAUCCACCAAGGACCUAUCGAUUAUCAGAAAAAAAUGGAAAAUCUAUUUUUCUGUUUGUGUGUGUGUGCAUAUGCAUUUGGUCAUAUAGAAUGAAUCCAAAACAAACCAUCACAUCGAACAUCGAUAGAAUGCCUUUCAGAUAGAAUAAUGUUUGGUUAACAUCAACAAAUAGUUUAUAUUGUUACAAUGUUUAGAUCCUAUCUAAUACAAGGAGUCAAAGCUGAACAAGAUUGAUUUAUCUAUUUCAUGACUGUUUCUGGCUAUGCCACAAUAUAGCAUUGUGUAGGCUUUGUGACG
rnacentral:lncRNA from 1 species